CCAGACUCCUACGGGAGGCAGCAGUGGGGGAUAUUGCACAAUGGGGGGAACCCUGAUGCAGCGACGCCGCGUGGGUGAAGAAGCGCCUCGGCGCGUAAAGCCCUAUCGGCAGGGAAGAAGGAGGACGGUACCUGACUAAGAAGCCCCGGCUAACUACGUGCCAGCAGCCGCGGUAAUACGUAGGGGGCAAGCGUUAUCCGGAUUUACUGGGUGUAAAGGGGGCGCAGACGGCAGCGCAAGCCAGGAGUGAAAGCCCGGGGCCCAACCCGCACACUGCAUUGGGAACUGUAUGGCUAGAGUGUUGGAGGGGCAGGCGGAAUUCCUGGUGUAGCGGUGAAAUGCGUAGAUAUCAGGAGGAACACCGGUGGCGAAGGCGGCCUGCUGGACGACGACUGACGUUGAGGCUCGAGAGCGUGGGGAGCGAACAGGAUUAGAUACCCGAGUA
rnacentral:rRNA from 1 species